GGGGUUGAAGCUCAGUGGUAGAGCACUUACCUAGCAUGUGUGAAAUACUGGGUUUGAUCCCCAGCACCA
rnacentral:tRNA from 1 species